CCGAGUUGCAAAACUCCCAACCAUUGUGGUCGUCUUUGUCUUGUUGCCUCGGCGGGCUGCCCCAGGGCGGGGCCUCUGCCCGGCCCGCCGAAAGCACAACCAAAACUCUUCUGUAACGAGUCUUCUGAAGCACUAUAAAAUAAGUCA
rnacentral:misc_RNA from 1 species